rnacentral:rRNA from 1 species
CAUGCAAGUCGAGCGGGGGGAGGUAGCUUGCUACCUAACCUAGCGGCGGACGGGUGAGUAAUGCUUAGGAAUCUGCCUAUUAGUGGGGGACAACAUUUCGAAAGGGAUGCUAAUACCGCAUACGCCCUAAGGGGGAAAGCAGGGGAUCUUCGGACCUUGCGCUAAUAGAUGAGCCUAAGUCGGAUUAGCUAGUUGGUGGGGUAAAGGCCUACCAAGGCGACGAUCUGUAGCGGGUCUGAGAGGAUGAUCCGCCACACUGGGACUGAGACACGGCCCAGACUCCUACGGGAGGCAGCAGUGGGGAAUAUUGGACAAUGGGGGGAACCCUGAUCCAGCCAUGCCGCGUGUGUGAAGAAGGCCUUUUGGUUGUAAAGCACUUUAAGCGAGGAGGAGGCUACCGAGAUUAAUACUCUUGGAUAGUGGACGUUACUCGCAGAAUAAGCACCGGCUAACUCUGUGCCAGCAGCCGCGGUAAUACAGAGGGUGCGAGCGUUAAUCGGAUUUACUGGGCGUAAAGCGUGCGUAGGCGGCUUUUUAAGUCGGAUGUGAAAUCCCCGAGCUUAACUUGGGAAUUGCAUUCGAUACUGGGAAGCUAGAGUAUGGGAGAGGAUGGUAGAAUUCCAGGUGUAGCGGUGAAAUGCGUAGAGAUCUGGAGGAAUACCGAUGGCGAAGGCAGCCAUCUGGCCUAAUACUGACGCUGAGGUACGAAAGCAUGGGGAGCAAACAGGAUUAGAUACCCUGGUAGUCCAUGCCGUAAACGAUGUCUACUAGCCGUUGGGGCCUUUGAGGCUUUAGUGGCGCAGCUAACGCGAUAAGUAGACCGCCUGGGGAGUACGGUCGCAAGACUAAAACUCAAAUGAAUUGACGGGGGCCCGCACAAGCGGUGGAGCAUGUGGUUUAAUUCGAUGCAACGCGAAGAACCUUACCUGGUCUUGACAUAGUAAGAACUUUCCAGAGAUGGGAUUGG